rnacentral:rRNA from 1 species
UACGGAGGGUGCAAGCGUUGUCCGGAAUUAUUGGGCGUAAAGAGCUCGUAGGCGGCUUGUCGCGUCGGCUGUGAAAACCCUGGGGCUCAACCCCGGGCCUGCAGCCGAUACGGGCAAGCUAGAAUUCGGUAGGGGAGACUGGAAUUCCUGGUGUAGCGGUGAAAUGCGCAGAUAUCAGGAGGAACACCGGUGGCGAAGGCGGGUCUCUGGGCCGAUAUUGACGCUGAGGAGCGAAAGCGUGGGGAGCGAACAGG